rnacentral:rRNA from 1 species
AUACGUAGGGGGCGAGCGUUGUCCGGAAUGAUUGGGCGUAAAGGGCGCGUAGGCGGCGCGGUAAGUCUGGAGUGAAAGUCCUGCUUUCAAGGUGGGAAUUGCUUUGGAUACUGCCGUGCUUGAGUGCAGGAGAGGUUAUCGGAAUUCCCGGUGUAGCGGUGAAAUGCGUAGAGAUCGGGAGGAACACCAGUGGCGAAGGCGGGUAACUGGACUGCAACUGACGCUGAGGCGCGAAAGUGUGGGGAGCAAACAGGAUUAGAUACCCUGGUAGUCCACACUGUAAACGAUGAAUGCUAGGUGUAAGAGGUAUCGACCCCUUUUGUGCCGGAGUCAACACAAUAAGCAUUCCGCCUGGGGAGUACGGCCGCAAGGUUGAAACUCAAAUGAAUUGACGGGG